rnacentral:lncRNA from 1 species
UUUUUUUUUUUUUUUUUUUCUCUCUUUUUUCUUCUUCAUUUCUCUCGUCUCGUCGGACAUUUUCCCCCCUCGAUCAGGCCCGCUACGCCCGAUUCGCAUCAUCUCCGGCGAGUAUAUUUUUUUCUCUCUCCCGUCCUCGUUCGAACGACGAGUAACAACUUACUUCGUUCUGGUAUAUUCCGUAGCGCACGGGUUAAUAUACAGCGAGUAACACGCGACUAUAUUCACGGCGUGUACGGCGUAGAAACGGGCGACCACGUUUCCACCUGUAAGAACCAGGUAGUACGGGGAAUCAUGCAUGGUUGAACUUCCUAAGUGUUCUUAGAGAGCGUUCCACUAAAGUCUCGAGGUCCGGUGGCCGGACGGCCGUGCAACGUCUCUGAGAUAGACACGAAAAGACGAAUUUUCCCACGUGGACACGGGUCGUGGUGAGGGAUGCCUGAGAAACAAUUCUUGGGAAGAUUGAUCGAUUCUCGUUCGUUUUUUGGUUUUUUUUUUUUCUUUUUCAAAUUAUCGUUUGGGCAAAACUAGAGAAAAUGGUAAUAGAGGAAAGGAAGAGAAAAAAAAACCAACAACAGCUUCGCAGUUCUGCGUACAGCUAUUUGUGGGAGAAAGGAAUAUACGUAUGGGUACAGUCGGGCAAAGAAGAAUCGUCCACGGGCGUCCCACUCCUCCGAUUCGCCGUAACUCCGAAGAGAGGAAAAAUAAAUACCGAGGACCGAACAACUCGUCCGCCCAUUGGCGUGUUACCCUUCUCUCCCUCUUCAAAAGUUCCGCACGCCGUUCGACGGCCUUCGAUGUAACGAUGAUUCGGAAAAACGAGAAAACGACGGACAAACAAAAACCAAAUUAGCGAAACGAACGAACGAAAAACUGAACGCUAUUCGAUUGUCCGAUAUGCAGCGAAUUCAAUAUGCCAACGACAAGGGAUGAAUGAUUAAUCCGGGGCUGCAGAUUUUUCGUUGGAACGGCGGGAGCAAAAGCGUACGAAGAAGGAGUAGGAGAAGGAGAAGGAGAAGAAGAAGAAGAAGAGGUAGUUGUGGUAGUAGUCGGACCUCCACCACCGUUCUUGUAACAGACAGGUGAAGAAGAGGAAGAAGAAGCAGUACCUAUGGUGGAUGUUGAAGAAGGAAUACGAAGACGA